rnacentral:hammerhead_ribozyme from 1 species
CUCAGUUAAAGAGUCCCGAAUAGGACGAAACGCGCGUCCUCCAU